GUGAACGCUGGCGGCAUGUCUAAGGCAUGCAAGUUGAACGGUACGGCGCAAGUCGUGCCGUGGCAGACGGGUGAGUAACACAUUGGUAACCUACCCCUAUCUCGGGCAUAACCCGGAGAAAUCUGGGACAAUUCCCGAUAGUCAUGCGGGGUCGUGAGACUCGGCAUGUAAAGAUUUAUCGGAUAGGGAGGGGCCUAUGGCCCAUCAGCUUGUUGGUAGGGUAAUGGCCUACCAAGGCUAUGACGGGUAGCGGGUGUGAGAGCAUGACCCGCCUCACGGGGACUGAGACACUGCCCCGACUCCUACGGGAGGCUGCAGUCGAGAAUCUUCCUCAAUGGCCGAAAGGCUGAAGGAGCAAUGCCGCGUGAUCGAAGAAGCCCCUCGGGGUGUAAAGAUCUUUUCUCAGGGAAGAAUUAGUGACGGUACCUGAGGAAUAAGCCACUGCUAACUUCGU
rnacentral:rRNA from 1 species